AUCACCUUUCAAAGGCUGACAGCAUCUGCUUUUUUACUGAGAGAAACCUGUUGCCAUGCAAGAAACUCUACUACCAGAGCCAGCCUGCAGUGAAGAAGCCCAGACCAGCCCUGUGGAGAGGUCACAUAGGGAAGAACUGAGGAGCCAAAGACAGAGAGAAUGGAUCCCCACACAUAUAUUCACCACAGGACCAUUACAGCCAAUCCCCAGUCAUCCAUGCAAUCCCAGGAACUGGAGCUUAUGCUGGGCAGAGAAUGAAGAAAAGCUGAUCCCUGUCUAUGCAAGUGGCAGAAGCAAUUCACAAAGAGAGGUUUGGUGGGAGAGAGGAAGAAGCUGGCAGAGGAGAGGAAGAAGUUCUGUAUUCAAGCCAGAAGGAACCUCUGACCCAGCUGAUUGUGGACUGAAACCUCUACAAACUCGUCGAGGAGCAGAGAUGCCCCCCAGCACCGAGGAGGAGCCUUCCAGGCCACCAUACCACCACUGCCAGCGCUGAGGAGUUGAGCCUUUUGGGCCACCUACCACCACCUGGAGUGCCCAGGAGCAGAACCCCCCCCUCAACCCCAAUGAGGUGAGCCAUGAGGACACCAGCAGCACACCCACCCCCCUUGAAAUGAGAAGACAUGUAAACAAGUCUCAAAACCAGACUUCUAGAUUACCUAAAGCAACCCAAAUGGAAACUUGAGAUGAAACAAUCUGAUACUCCACUACCUGGACUCCCUGAACUGCCAACAAAAGAGGAUCUGGAAAAAAUGAAAUCAGAAAUAAUUACUCAGAUAAGAG
rnacentral:lncRNA from 1 species